ACUCCUACGGGAGGCAGCAGUGGGGAAUAUUGCACAAUGGGCGCAAGCCUGAUGCAGCCAUGCCGCGUGUAUGAAGAAGGCCUUCGGGUUGUAAAGUACUUUCAGCAGUGAGGAAGGUGGGUAUGUUAAUAGCAUGCACUCAUUUGACGUUAGCUGCAGAAGAAGCACCGGCUAACUCCGUGCCAGCAGCCGCGGUAAUACGGAGGGUGCGAGCGUUAAUCGGAAUUACUGGGCGUAAAGCGCAUGCAGGUGGUUUGUUAAGUCAGAUGUGAAAGCCCGGGGCUCAACCUCGGAAUUGCAUUGAACUUGGACAACGU
rnacentral:rRNA from 1 species